rnacentral:rRNA from 1 species
GACGAACGCUGGCGGCAUGCUUAACACAUGCAAGUCGAACGGAUAGGCCCUGCUUUUUUGUGGUGCUCGCGUGGCGAACGGGUGUGUUGCACGUGAGUCUCCUUCCCUUUACUUUUUAAUAUCUUCAGACAACUUGUGCUAAUACCUGAUUGGUGCUCCUGCUGCUUGGUGGUGUUUGGACAUCUUCGUCGGUUGUGGAUGUACUCGCGGCUUAUCAGUUUGUUGGUGGGGUAGUGGCCUACCAAGGCUUUGACGGGUAGUCGGCCUGAGAGGGUUGACGGGCACAAUGGGACUGAGAGACGGACCAGACUGGAACGGGAGGCAGUAGGGGAGAGUAUUGUACAACGGGCGGAAGCAUGAGGAAAAAACGCCGCGAGCGGGAUGAAGGCCAUCGGGGUGGAAACGGCAUUAGGCUGAGACGAAGCGUGAGUGACGGUAAUAGGAAAAGAAGCACCGGCUAACUACGUG